UAAUACGAAGGGUGCAAGCGUUAAUCGGAAUUACUGGGCGUAAAGCGCACGCAGGCGGUUUGUUAAGUCAGAUGUGAAAUCCCCGGGCUCAACCUGGGAACUGCAUUUGAAACUGGCAAGCUAGAGUCCCGUAGAGGGGGGUAGAAUUCCAGGUGUAGCGGUGAAAUGCGUAGAGAUCUGGAGGAAUACCGGUGGCGAAGGCGGCCCCCUGGACGAAGACUGACGCUCAGGUGCGAAAGCGUGGGGAGCAAACAGGAUUAGAUACCCUGGUAGUCCACGCUGUAAACGAUGUCGAUUUGGAGGUUGUGCCCUUGAGGCGUGGCUUCCGGAGCUAACGCGUUAAGUCGACCGCCUGGGGAGUACGGCCGCAAGGUU
rnacentral:rRNA from 1 species